CACAAGCUCUUAGAGGUGCAGCUGCAGGGU
rnacentral:piRNA from 1 species